UUUCGCAAUGCCCGAAAGGGUGACGAAGCAACGCCGCGUGGGUGAGGAAGGCCCUCGGGUUGUAAAGCCCUGUCAGGAGUUAAGAAAUGUAAGUGCGCUAAUAUCGCAUUUAUUUGACGAAGGCUCCAAAGGAAGUCACGGCUAACUCUGUGCCAGCAGCCGCGGUAAUACAGAGGUGGCAAGCGUUGUUCGGAAUUAUUGGGCGUAAAGAGCACGUAGGUGGGUUUGCAAGUCAGAUGUGAAAGCCUCCUGUUCAACGGGAGAAUUGCAUCUGAAACUGCAGAUCUUGAGUGUAGGAGGGGAGAAUGGAACUUCUGGUGGAGCGGUGAAAUGCGUAGAUAUCAGAAGGAACGCCGGCGGCGAAAGCGAUUCUCUGGCCUAUUACUGACACUCAGUGUGCGAAAGCUAGGGGAGCAAACGGGAUUAGAUACCCCGGUAGUCCUAGCCGUAAACGAUGGGCACUAAGUAGAGGGGUUUUA
rnacentral:rRNA from 1 species